UACGUAGGUGGCAAGCGUUGUCCGGAAUUAUUGGGCGUAAAGCGCGCGCAGGUGGUUUCUUAAGUCUGAUGUGAAAGCCCACGGCUCAACCGUGGAGGGUCAUUGGAAACUGGGGAACUUGAGUGCAGGAGAGAAGAGUGGAAUUCCACGUGUAGCGGUGAAAUGCGUAGAGAUGUGGAGGAACACCAGUGGCGAAGGCGACUCUUUGGCCUGUAACUGACACUGAGGCGCGAAAGCGUGGGG
rnacentral:rRNA from 1 species